rnacentral:SRP_RNA from 1 species
CGGCCCAUGAACCCCGCCAGGUCCGGAAGGAAGCAACGGUAAGUGGUUUCCGGUGGGUGCCGCGAGAUCGCCUGGUCGG